CAGCCGUAAACAAUGUGCGUUAGGUGUGUCGGUAACCACGCGUUACUGAUGCGCCGAAGAGAAAUCGUGAAACGCACCACCUGGGAAGUACGGUCGCAAGGCUGAAACUUAAAGGAAUUGGCGGGGGAGCACCACAACAGGUGGAGCCUGCGGUUUAAUUGGAUUCAACGCCGGACAUCUCACCGGAUAAGACAGCUGAAUGAUUGUCAAUCUGAAGGUUUUACAUGACUAGCUGAGAGGAGGUGCAUGGCGUC
rnacentral:rRNA from 1 species